rnacentral:lncRNA from 1 species
CCCCCUCCAGUCUCAGGCCGAUUCGACGAAAUUCUCACUUCGCUGCUAGUGCCUGCUUCUGUUGGCCUCCAGGACGCUGUCCAGGUAGACAUAACCACAUAACCAAAAAGCAUGCAGAGAGAAGAAACAAAUCUGGACAAAAGGUCGGAGUCGCCUUUCCCACAGUGGAGAAGGAAGAGUGGCCAGCACACGGUUGUCGCCGCGAGUCGGUCAUUUCUGCUGUCUCCUGUGCCCGUCAACACUUCAAGGAUAUGACAGUAAAUGACAUGUCAUGACUCAAGGCACUCAAGACACGGGAAGACUGAUCCACUCGCGACACUGCAGGAAAGCUCGCGGGAGGGAAUCUCAGUUCCACUCAGAGACAAAGCAGCAAAGAACAGCGGCUCUGACUGGGCCCAGCGGAGGAAGAGCAGGCCAGGGGCAGGCAGAAGGCAGCGAGGCAGCCACGCCUGCGGAGGUGGACAAAGGCCACGGGCACCGUGGGUGUGGAACAGGCCCUGCCGUCAUUUGUUGAACCCCCGGGCGAUGCGUUGGGUAACCCGCAGUGACGUCAGUGCUACCAGCUUCCAGUUGAUCCGACCGCUGGUCUUCACUGGCCGCUGGCUGGUUUCUCCGUGCCGUGACCCACACGAAGGCAGGCCCCAGCAGAACAGUGGCUUGGGGAAACGGGGCGCUCAUUUCUCUCUGCCUGCCUCUCCUGGACUUCUGCUGACAGAGCAGGCACUGUGUCGGAGACAGACGAUGCCAUCGCCCUGUGGCCGCCACCGCCAGUGUAGAUGGCCCAAGGCCCACAGCAGCAGAGGACGAGAUCCGCCAGGUUUUAGCUGCUGCAGAGCCUACCCAGGAAAGGCCCUAAGUCUAGGCCUCCUCACAGGAGCAGCUCUCGUGCAGCCGCGAGUGGGGCAGGACGGGGUCUCACUCUGCCGGCUUCCUGCUCGGAUCUGGUCUGUAGUGAGGAGCUACAGAAGUGUGCAAGGGCGCCGGCUGCCCCUCCACCCCCACGAGGCUUUCUCCAGCAGAGAACUGUGGGAAGGGGACCCCCAAAUGUUCAUGGCCUACCAAAGCCAGCUGGAAGGAGCCUUCCAUACCAGGGAGCUGCCGAGCCUCCUGGGACAGCUCCUGCCCGUGCCAGUGGGGGCCCCGCUAUCUCAGGCUUUCUGUCGGAGCAUCCCAUAUCGUAACAGGUUCCCACCUUUAGCCUCUGCUGAAAGAAACGCCUGUCAAACUGAUGAGAACUCUUUGUCAGUCUCCAAACGGCUCAGACGGUCUCUGCUCAUCUUGACCAGCACGGGCAAAGUCCCACCGUGCUGGAAGUCCCACCUCCAGCCGGCACCACCUCCAGCCUGCACGCACCUCUGGCGGUACUUCUGCCUUUCCCGCAGGAAGCAAGGGCCAUGCGGCUCGGACCUGUGUUGUCAGCUUUAA